rnacentral:lncRNA from 1 species
UUUCUGGUUAAUGAGUAAAAAUAAUGGCUAAAAUGUUAAAAAGUUUAUUUUAAGCAUUUAUAUUUCUAACUUGUUAUUUUAAAAAACACGUAUCAGUUACUUUACCAAAUAAUUCAUUACUUAUUUAAUGUCCUCUCUAUUUAAUGUAACAUUACAGAGUCUUCCAGUCAUUAAACAAAAAUGCCAAUAAAAAGUCACGUUUUUUUCAUUACUUAAUUUGCCACAUUUAAAGACAAGAGACCUUAAAUUAUAAAUUACCAGUAAGAAUAACUUAUAAAGCUCCAUAUAUAUAAUAUAUAUUUGAAUAGUUAACACUAAUUCUUGGGUUUAUCUCAUAAAAAAUGUGACUAUAAAAUAACAAUGAUUAAGGUAUCUCAGAAAUUAGGUAUACAAAUGAGCACUCUUAUUAAUAUUCAUCAACAGAAACAGCAAUUAAUAUAGUUGGAGAAGUCCAUCUUGGAAUUACCUUUCACAAGACUGUCUACCUCAAGCAUACGUGU